CAUGUCACUCAAACCAGCUGUAUUAAGGAAGGUGCAAGCUUUUGGGAUUUCUGUUUGGAUUUAGUUUAGGUUCAAAAGAGCACGCACAGAUCCUGAGUGUUGUCAAGCACCCGUGACUGGGAAACGGAGGCGUCCGAUCCGUAUUGGAGUCAAUUCGCCACUUAAUUGAACACAGCCUCGAAGGGAAGGGCCAUAUUUGUGGGCCUGUCUAACAAUUAAGAGUGACCACAUGGAAUGGGGGAUGAAAGGGUUAAAGAAGAACAAAUAUUGAACACAGCUUUUCUAUGAACAAACUGCAGGCAGCUGCUGCUUUGCAAGGGACACUGACGCUAGAGAGGAAGCAGUGCUUUGAGUUUGCCAUUCUGGCAAUGUCCAAAUGUGGAAGACUGGAUAACAGGGAAGCAGUUGAUUGAGAAUAAUGGUUCUGUUUUGGAGGUUGAUGGAAGAUGCCCUUUGGCCAGGAAAACAGCUCAUGCUUUUAGAGGAGGAUAAUUGCCAGAAGGCCUCUCUGAAUAAAAAAAAAUCCUGACCUCACAGCCUUUGCGCUUACUUGGGUUAGAAUGCCACAGUGAACAUUGCCCCUUGUCAUCACGUAGAGGUGCUCACAGGUAAAGCAACACAAGGAGCAUAUAGGAUCACCUGCUGGAUCUUGUUUUUAACACCAGGGAGGAAAAUGGUGUCUUGGGUAAUGAACAUGCCUCAAGACUGAGCUGGCCAUCUUCAGUGUCAUCCAAACCCUCAGUGGCCCCUGAAAAACCCUUUGAAAAGAUUCAGCACGUUGCCAUGGAGAACAUCCCACUGAAGGAAUGUAUAGAAGUAGCAGGGUUAACUGAGUGCCUUCCAUCUUCCCUCCAAGGGAUCUGCAAUGAGAUGGGAGAAGGCAACAGGCUGUGUGGGAACCACUGAAGCUGGGAUGGCAGGGAAAGAACAUCUUAGGCUAACUCUUCAAGCCUUGCUGUCACAUUUGCUUUUGAGUCUAUGGUGUCAGCUGCCUACCAGUUGCUUUCAUCUCUAGAAAUCUGUGACUUGCAGUAUGACAAGAACAAAAGAUUCACAAUGGAUGCAGGAGAUGGCAAGUUGUUUCUCCCUCCCUAACAGGUGACAAUACAAAGGACAAAGGGCAAGGAAUACAGACGGAGAAGCCGCUUAGAGUCUAGGAUGGCAGAGGUUCUCUUGAUCAUUUCAUUUUUGAGCGCUUGUAGAGCUUUGGUGUACCAGAGGUGCUUGAACAGCUUACCACACCACAGAUGAAUGGCCUUUGGAUUUCUCCUAAGAAAAUGUGGCUACCUGAAAUUCAACUCCAUUUUCUGGUCUUCAAUAUUUCUUUUGUGUUCAGUUUGCCAGCUGAGGAGAAGUGGCUAAGCAUAGCCUGUUACUGAUGCUAAAGCCCAAGUUCUGAACCUAACAACUCCAGCAACAUGAUCCUGUUUCAAGAGACAAAAAA
rnacentral:lncRNA from 1 species